GCCUGCUCUAUGUCUAUUAAUCCAUCCUUCCUUUCAAUCUUUCUGCAUGGUCCUCUUCUUACCUCUUCUUACCUGCUAUGAAAUUGCCAGAUGACAAUGGCUGGACGAAUCAUUCCUGACUGAUUUUUUUUUUUUUCUUCUUAUAAAGUUAACCUCAUUUCCCUGUUACUUGUAUGUGUAGCAAGUCUCUAAUUAGCUGUUUCCUAUUCAGACAUCCCACGUGUCUCUACUUGAUUUCAAUUUCAGUGAGUAAAGCAUCUUGCAAUAAAUCAGGAAAGAUCUGUGAAGAGGAAAUUUGUUUUCUAGUGGGUAUGUUGUCAUUGGCAGAUCACAAACUAAGAAAUGACCAUGGAGCAAUUUUGAGCCUACAGACUGCGUGUUGUCCAGAGGAGGGCCACGAAGAUGAUCGGAGGGCUGGAGAACCUCUCCUAUGAAGAAACGCUGAGAGAUCUGGGGAUGUUUGGCUUGGAGAAGAGAAGUCUCUGGGGAGACCACAUUGCAGCCUUUCACUACAUAAAGAGGGCUUAUGAAAAAAACAGAGUGACUUUUUACUUGUGCAGACAAUGACAGGACAAGGGGGAAUGGUUUUAAACUAAAAGAAGGAAAAUUUAAAUUGGAUGUUAGGAGGAAAUUCUUCACUCAGUGGAUGGUGAGGCACUGGAACAGGUUGCCCGGAGAAGCUGUGGAUGCCUCAUCCCUGGAGAUGUUCAAGACCAGACUGGACAAGGCUGUGGGCAACCUGGCCUGGUGGGAGGCAUGCCAGCCCAUAGCAGGUAGUUGGAACUAGUUGAUCUUUAAGGUUGCUUCCAACACAAACCGACACUAUGAUUCUUUGACAUUUUCAUGAAGCUUGCUAUCAGUAUCACAUAGGCUUCUAAUUCAGAAAGAACCAUAGCUGAUGGUGUGCAUCAUCUUUAAUGAUUUGAUUUCAAUUAAUGAACGACUUCAAGGAGCCUCAAAAGUUGCUAAUGGAGAAGAAUUCCUAGCAAUCAUAUGAUUAAUUUUUAUUUUCCUUCAAGCAAAAGAGACUAGAGGAC
rnacentral:lncRNA from 1 species